AAAUAGUGAAAAGGUUGGGGAUGAAAAUAUGAAGGGGAAGACGAAGGAGGAUGAAAGAAACGGAGUUGGUUCAUCCUUUGACAGUUCCACUCUCAUGCUCAUCAUUCACUGCUCCAAACCAACAAAUUUUAAUACAUACAUCUCUGUCGAAACUGAAAUUAAAAGGAAAUUAUGUUUGUUUUUUAAUUUUUUUAAAUUAAAUAAUCACAGACAAUCUUGAAGAGAAGAGAGGAGGAGAGAAGAGAAAACUGCUGUGCAAGAUGGAAUGGAAUGUAAUUCAAACUUGAUUUUGCUGAAUGGUGAUGGAAACCCAAUAUCAAAGUUGCUCCAGAUUGACUAACAUGCGACUUUGUCUCAUUCUGGGGGAGAUUGGCUCUGCAAAAUGCUUCCCGUUUAAUGUUUGUGAUAUGCAGGUAGUUUAUAGUUCUAGACAAAUUGAAUAAGUAUGAAGAAUAAGCUAUAGCCUUUCCGGUGCAAACAAAGUUCGUUUCAUACCCUACACUUAUGGAUGUUGAGGUGGUAGAUGUGGAAGGGAGAAAAGGUGACAAUCAUAUUAUGGUAAAUGCUGAUUCCAAUAAGUCUGGGAAACUUAAUGUAACAGAAGAUUCUUCGGAAGUAAUGGUUAGAAAUCAGGAUGAUGAUGGAGGUGCUUUACCACAUGUGGGUAUGGAGUUUGAAUCAGAGGAUGUUGCCAAGGCAUUCUAUGAUGCAUAUGCCAGGCGUAUGGGAUUUAGCACUCAUGUUGGUCAAUUUAACCGUGCUAAGCCUGAUGGGCCAAUUGUUACUUGGGAUUUUGCAUGUUCCAGAGAGGUACUUAAAAGAAGGAAUUUUGAGUGCUGCAAUGCAAUGCUUAGGAUAGAGAGGAAGAAUUCAGACAACUGGGUUGUGACAAAAUUUAUAGAGGAGCAUAACCACUCUAUGACAGUUCCUAGUAAGGUUCAUUAUCUUCGACCUCGUAGGCAUUUUGCUGGGGCUACAAAGAAUGCGACUGAAACACUGGAUGCCAGUGCCACUAGUGAUGUUUAUGUUCCUAUUGAUGGGAAUCAUGCAUCUUAUGAACAAAAUCGUGUUAGAAAUGUAUCCCUUGUAGAACCUAAUCACCCAGUUAGGAAUGUUGUGCAUGCACCUAUGAACUAUGUGAGUCCUCCUAGCAGAAAAAGGACCCUCGGAAGAGAUGCACAAAAUCUUUUGAAUUAUUUCCAGAAAAUGCAGGCCGAGAACCCUGGCUUCUAUUAUGCAAUACAACUUGAUGAUGAUAAUCGCAUGACUAAUGUCUUCUGGACUGAUGCAAGAUCAAGGAUGGCUUAUAAUCAUUUUGGCGAUACUGUUGUUUUUGACACCAUGUAUAGACCAAAUCAAUAUCAGGUCCCAUUUGCUCCUUUCACAGGUGUUAAUCAUCAUGGUCAGAUGGUAUUAUUCGGCUGUGCAUUGCUUCUAGAUGAGUCUGAGUCUUCCUUUACUUGGCUAUUUAGGACGUGGCUAUCUGCAAUGAAUAACCGACCUCCUGUUUCUCUUACCACCGACCAAGACAGAGCCAUACAAAUGGCUGUUGCUCAGGUACUUCCAGAAACUCGCCACCGCAUCUGCAAGUGGCACAUCUUGAGAGAAGGCCAAGAAAGGUUGUCUCACAUAUACCUUGCUCAUCCAUCCUUUUAUGGAGAGCUGUAUAGCUCCAUUAAUUUUUCUGAGACAAUUGAGGAUUUUGAAUCAUCAUGGGGUAGUCUUCUGGAUAAAUAUGAUCUCCAGAAGAAUGAAUGGCUUCAGGCUGUGUAUAAUGCUCGCAAGCAGUGGGCGCCAGUUUAUUUUCGUGGCACUUUCUUUGCUGCAAUUUCUUCAAACCAAGGGUUUAGCUCUUUUUUUGAUGGGUAUGUGAAUCAACAAACCACAAUACCUCUGUUCUUUAAGCAGUAUGAAAGAGCUCUUGAGCAUUCUCUGGAAAAGGAAAUAGAAGCAGAUUAUGAUACAAUCUGCACCACUCCAGUGCUUAAGACACCAUCACCAAUGGAACAACUGGCAGCAAACCUCUAUACAAAGAAAGUGUUUGCAAAGUUUCAGGAAGAACUAGUUGAAACUUUUGUAUAUACAGCAAAUAACAUAGAAGAUGAUGGAGUUGUGAGUAAAUAUAGGGUUGCAAAAUAUGAACAAGAUGACAAGGCAUACAUAGUGAUUCUGAACAUUUCUGAGAUGAAGGCAAGUUGCAGUUGCCAGAUGUUUGAAUACUGUGGCAUUCUCUGUCGGCAUGUACUAACUGUAUACACUGUAACCAAUGUUCUUACCCUUCCAUCCCACUACAUAUUGAAAAGAUGGAAAAGAAAUGCCAACUCUUGGGUCGGGACAGAGGAGCAAAGUCCAGACCUGCAAGCUAUUGAAUCCUUGACCUCACGCUUUAACAAUCUAUGCGUGGAGGCUAUUAAAUAUGCAGCAGAAGGAACAAUUGCAGUUGAGACCUAUAAUUUGGCAAUAAAUGCUUUAAGAGAGGGUGCAAAAAAGAUUGCUGCUAUGAAGAAAAAUGUUGCGAAAGUUACACCUCCUAGCUCUCAAGGCAGUGGUAACAGUCUGGAAGAAACUAACAAGAAAACCCCCUUUUCAGUUCCUGAAAUGGUCCCAUCAGUGUGGCACUGGCAAGAUGCUAUGCCACAUCGGUUUAAUCUCAAUGAUGUAGGAGUACCUGUUACAGAUUUGAACCAGCCUAGCACGGCUCCUGUGUCUAUCCAUCGUGACGGCUGUCCUCCUGACAACACAGUGGUUCUUACUUAUUUCAAGUCCAUGACUUGGGUAAUAGAGAAUAAGACUUCAACGCCAGCUGGAAAAGUAGCUGUCAUCAACUUGAAGCUGCAAGAUUAUGGCAAGAAUCCAUCAGGGGAAACAGAGGUGCAGUUUAGGCUAACAAGGAUCACAUUGGAACCAAUGCUGAGAUCCAUGGCUCAUAUAAGUCAGCAGCUUUCAACACCAGCCAAUCGAGUUGCUGUCAUUAAUCUAAAGCUUCUUUCAGAUCCUGUCUUCUUCUUCAUCCUUUUUUCCCUUCCUUUUGCGGGGAUAGUAAUAUCCAGUCAUUUUGGCUCCAAGAUACCAAAACAACAACAGGGGAAACAGAGGUGAAAUUCCAGGUUUCUAGAGAUACACUGGCUUCCAUGUUGAGAUCAAUGGCCUAUAUACGUGAGCAAUUAUGACAACAGUUUUGCUGAUCUCUUAAUUGUAAUGAUGAAUUAUGUAAGCAAGAGGUAUAGUGAUCUUUGAAUCUCAUUUGGCAAGGAAAGCUCAAAUAAGCUUCACAAGCUGUUAGCAUUAUAGGUAUUGAAGGCGUGCUCCAUUUUGGUAGAUAACAGUUGUGUACUAUAUGAUUGUUAGGUUGACAUAGUUUGGGUGUAGAUUUAGUUAGGUUAUGGGAAUGGGAUCUCUGUUUCAUUGAUGGAACUGGCUGAGGCUUAGGUAUAGCUAUUCUUAUCUCUAACUUGUAGUUAUAGAUAGUGCAAAAUUCCCUUGUAAUUAUGUGCUGGAAAGUUCUAUUUGUACAUGUACAUUUCCAACACAUGUUUACUCAUUCAGCAUUGCAUAUAUGUUGUACUUAGCUCUGUUUUCAA